UACGUAGGGGGCUAGCGUUGUCCGGAUUUAUUGGGCGUAAAGAGCGUGUAGGCGGCCAGGUAGGUCUGCUGUGAAAACUCGAGGCUCAACCUCGAGACGUCGGCGGAAACCAUCUGGCUAGAGUCCGGAAGAGGAGAGUGGAAUUCCCAGUGUAGCGGUGAAAUGCGUAGAUAUUGGGAGGAACACCAGUGGCGAAGGCGGCUCACUGGACCGGUACUGACGCUGAUGCGCGAAAGCGUGGGGAGCAAACGGG
rnacentral:rRNA from 1 species